rnacentral:rRNA from 1 species
CAAUAUAAGUGAUGGCGACCGGCGCACGGGUGAGUAACACGUAUCCAACCUGCCGAUAACUCGGGGAUAGCCUUUCGAAAGAAAGAUUAAUACCCGAUGGUAUAAUAAAACCGCAUGGUUUAAUUACCAAAGAAUUUCGGUUAUCGAUGGGGAUGCGUUCCAUUAGGCAGUUGGUGAGGUAACGGCUCACCAAACCUUCGAUGGAUAGGGGUUCUGAGAGGAAGGUCCCCCACAUUGGAACUGAGACACGGUCCAA